GUGGGGAAUUUUGGACAAUGGGCGCAAGCCUGAUCCAGCAAUGCCGCGUGCAGGAAGAAGGCCUUCGGGUUGUAAACUGCUUUUGUACGGAACGAAAAGGCUCUGGUUAAUACCUGGGGCUCAUGACGGUACCGUAAGAAUAAGCACCGGCUAACUACGUGCCAGCAGCCGCGGUAAUACGUAGGGUGCAAGCGUUAAUCGGAAUUACUGGGCGUAAAGCGUGCGCAGGCGGUUUUGUAAGACAGGCGUGAAAUCCCCGGGCUCAACCGGGGAAUGGCGCUUGUGAAUGCAAGGCUGGAGUGCGGCAGAGGGGGAUGGAAUUCCGCGUGUAGCAGUGAAAUGCGUAGAUAUGCGGAGGAACACCGAUGGCGAAGGCAAUCCCCUGGGCCUGCACUGACGCUCAUGCACGAAAGCGUGGGGAGCAAACAGGAUUAGAAACCCCAGUAGUCC
rnacentral:rRNA from 1 species